GACGUAGGGCGCGAGCGUUUGUCCGGAUUUAUUGGGCGUAAAGAGCUCGUAGGCGGCUUGUCGCGUCGAAUGUGAAAACUCGGGGCUCAACUCCGAGCUUGCAUUCGAUACGGGCAGGCUAGAGUUCGGUAGGGGAGACUGGAAUUCCUGGUGUAGCGGUGAAAUGCGCAGAUAUCAGGAGGAACACCGGAGUGGCGAAGGCGGGUCUCUGGGCCACUACUGACGCUGAGACGACGAACGUGGGGAGCAACAGG
rnacentral:rRNA from 1 species